rnacentral:rRNA from 1 species
GGACGACGCUGGCGGCGUGCUUAACACAUGCAAGGUCGAACGGGGCGAAGUGAUAGCUUGCUAUUAUGGAGCCUAGUGGCAAACGGGUGAGUAACGCGUAGGCAACCUGCCCUUCAGAUGGGGACAACACCUCGAAAGGGGUGCUAAUACCGAAUGACGUUUCCUGGUCGCAUGACCUGGAAACCAAAGGCCGGGCAACCGGUCACUGAAGGAUGGAUCUGCGCUGCAUUAGCUAGUUGGUGGGGUAACGGCCCACCAAGGCGAUGAUGCAUAGCCGGCCUGAGAGGGUGAACGGCCACAUUGGGACUGAGACACGGCCCAAACUCCUACGGGAGGCAGCAGUAGGGAAUUUUCGGCAAUGGGGGAAACCCUGACCGAGCAAUGCCGCGUGAGUGAAGACGGCCUUCGGGUUGUAAAGCUCUGUUGUAAGGGAAGAACGGUACCGAUAGGGAAUGAUCGGUAAGUGACGGUACCUUACCAGAAAGCCACGGCUAACUACGUG